GUACUCGAAACCGACACAGGUGGGGUAGUUGAGAAUACUAAGGGGCGCGAGAUAACUCUCUCUAAGGAACUCGGCAAAAUGACCCCGUAACUUCGGGAGAAGGGGUGCCCUCGCAAGAGGGUCGCAGUGAAGAGGCCCAGGCGACUGUUUACCAAAAACACAGGUCUCCGCUAAGUAGCAAUUCGAUGUAUGGGGGCUGACGCCUGCCCAGUGCCGGAAGGUUAAGGAAGUCGGUCAGGGAGCAAUCCUGAAGCUGGCGACUGAAGCCCCGGUGAACGGCGGCCGUAACUAUAACGGUCCUAAGGUAGCGAAAUUCCUUGUCGGGUAAGUUCCGACCCGCACGAAAGGCGUAACGAUCUGGGCGCUGACUCGGAGAGAGACUCGGCGAAAUAGGAUUGUCUGUGAAGAUACGGACUCCCUGCACCUGGACAGAAGGACCCUAUGAAGCUUUACUGUAGCCUGGAAUUGUCUUCGGGUUUCGCUUGCGCAGGAUAGGUGGGAGGCUGUGAAAUACCCCUUGUGGGGGGUAUGGAGCCAUCGGUGAGAUACCACUCUAGCGAAACUAGAAUUCUAACCUCUGGCCGUUAUCCGGCCAAGGAACCGUUUCAGGUGGGCAGUUUGACUGGGGCGGUCGCCUCCUAAAAGGUAACGGAGGCGCGCAAAGGUUCUCUCAGGCUGGUUGGAAAUCAGCCGCCGAGUGCAAAGGCAUAAGAGAGCUUGACUGCUAGACCUACAAGUCGCGCAGGGACGAAAGUCGGCCUUAGUGAUCCGACGGUGCCGCAUGGAAGGGCCGUCGCUCAACGGAUAAAAGUUACUCUAAGGAUAACAGGCUGAUCUCCCCCAAGAGUUCACAUCGACGGGGAGGUUUGGCACCUCGAUGUCGGCUCAUCGCAACCUGGGGCGGAAGUACGUCCCAAGGGUUGGGCUGUUCGCCCAUUAAAGCGGUACGUGAGCUGGGUUCAGAACGUCGUGAGACAGUUCGGCCCAUAUCCGGUGCAGGCGCAAGAGCAUUGAGAGGAGCCUUCCUUAGUACGAGAGGACCGGGAAGGACGCACCGCUGGUGUACCUGUUAUCGUGCCAACGGUAAACGCAGGUUAGCCAUGUGCGGAGCGGAUAACCGCUGAAAGCAUCUAAGUGGGAAGCCCACCUCAAGAUGAGUGCUCUCACUACAUAAGUAGGUAAGGUCACGGGCAGAACACCCGUUCUUAGGCGCUAGGUGGAAGUGCAGUAAUGUAUGCAGCCGAGGCGUGCUAAUAGACCGAGGGC
rnacentral:rRNA from 1 species